rnacentral:rRNA from 1 species
CGCCUCUUGCAUUCUAUGUAUAAGAGGUCCCGCCUGCCCUGUGACUAUAUGUUUAACGGCCGCGGUAUUUUGACCGUGCAAAGGUAGCGCAAUCACUUGUCUUUUAAAUAAAGACCUGUAUGAAUGGCAUGACGAGGGCUUAACUGUCUCCUUCUCCCGGUCAAUGAAAUUGAUCUCCCCGUGCAGAAGCGGGGAUAUUAUUAUAAGACGAGAAGACCCUGUGGAGCUUUAAAUGAUGAGAGAUUUUAUGCAACAAACCUAAAAAGGCAUAAGCGAAUUUAUACUCCCUCUAAUAUUUUUGGUUGGGGCGACCGCGGAGUAAAAAGAAACCUCCGUGAGGAAUGAGGUAAUUAACCUUAAAUCCCAGAACGACAAUUCAAAGAAACAAAAUUUUUGACCUAAAGAUCCGGCAAAGCCGAUCAACGAACCUAGUUACCCCAGGGAUAACAGCGCAAUCCCCUUCAAGAGUCCCUAUCGACAAGGGGGUUUACGACCUCGAUGUUGGAUCAGGAUAUCCUAAUGGUGUAGCCGCUAUUAAGGGUUCGUUUGUUCAACGAUUAAAAUCCU